GACGAACGCUGGCGGCGUGCUUAACACAUGCAAGUCGAGCGACUGCAUUCUUUUCGGAGGGUGUAUGGAGCGGCGAACGGGUGAGUAACACGUGAGUAAUCUGCCUUUGGCUUGGGAAUAACUUCGGGAAAUCGGGGCUAAUGCCUGAUGUUUACUGUCUGCUGCAUGGUGGGUGGUGGAAAGAUUUUUUGGUCCGGGGA
rnacentral:rRNA from 1 species